GAUGAACGCUGGCGGUAUGCUUAACACAUGCAAGUCGAACGAAACCUUUCGGGGUUUAGUGGCGGACGGGUGAGUAACGCGUGAGAAUCUGCCUUCAGGUCUGGGACAACCACUGGAAACGGUGGCUAAUACCGGAUGUGCCGCAAGGUGAAAGGUUAACUGCCUGAAGAUGAGCUCGCGUCUGAUUAGCUAGUUGGCAGUGUAAGAGACUACCAAGGCGACGAUCAGUAGCUGGUCUGAGAGGACGAUCAGCCACACUGGGACUGAGACACGGCCCAGACUCCUACGGGAGGCAGCAGUGGGGAAUUUUCCGCAAUGGGCGAAAGCCUGACGGAGCAAUACCGCGUGAGGGAGGAAGGCUCUUGGGUCGUAAACCUCUUUUCUCAGGGAAGAAAAAAAUGACGGUACCUGAGGAAUAAGCAUCGGCUAACUCCGUGCCAGCAGCCGCGGUAAUACGGAGGAUGCAAGCGUUAUCCGGAAUGAUUGGGCGUAAAGCGUCCGCAGGUGGCGAUGUAAGUCUGCUGUUAAAGCGUCUAGCUCAACUAGAUAAAAGCAGUGGAAACUACAUGGCUAGAGUGCGUUCGGGGCAGAGGGAAUUCCUGGUGUAGCGGUGAAAUGCGUAGAGAUCAGGAAGAACACCGGUGGCGAAGGCGCUCUGCUAGGCCGUAACUGACACUGAGGGACGAAAGCUAGGGGAGCGAAUGGGAUUAGAUACCCCAGUAGUCCUAGCCGUAAACGAUGGAUACUAGGCGUGGCUUGUAUCGACCCGAGCCGUGCCGUAGCUAACGCGUUAAGUAUCCCGCCUGGGGAGUACGCCGGCAACGGUGAAACUCAAAGGAAUUGACGGGGGCCCGCACAAGCGGUGGAGUAUGUGGUUUAAUUCGAUGCAACGCGAAGAACCUUACCAAGGCUUGACAUGUCGCGAAUCCUGCUGAAAGGUGGGAGUGCCUUCGGGAGCGCGAACACAGGUGGUGCAUGGCUGUCGUCAGCUCGUGUCGUGAGAUGUUGGGUUAAGUCCCGCAACGAGCGCAACCCUCGUUUUUAGUUGCCAGCAUUAAGUUGGGCACUCUAGAGAGACUGCCGGUGACAAACCGGAGGAAGGUGGGGAUGACGUCAAGUCAGCAUGCCCCUUACGCCUUGGGCUACACACGUACUACAAUGCUCCGGACAGAGGGCAGCAAGCACGCGAGUGCAAGCUAAUCCCGUAAACCGGAGCUCAGUUCAGAUCGCAGGCUGCAACUCGCCUGCGUGAAGGAGGAAUCGCUAGUAAUUGCAGGUCAGCAUACUGCAGUGAAUUCGUUCCCGGGCCUUGUACACACCGCCCGUCACACCAUGGAAGCUGGUAGUGCCCGAAGUCAUUACUCCAACCUUUCGGGGGGGAGGAUGCCUAAGGCAGGACUGGUGACUGGGGUGAAGUCGUAACAAGGUAGCCGUACCGGAAGGUGUGGCUGGAUCACCUCCUUUUUAGGGA
rnacentral:rRNA from 1 species